AGUGGUGUGCGUGUGUGCCUCG
rnacentral:miRNA from 1 species